rnacentral:rRNA from 1 species
AGUGAACGCUGGCGGUAGGCCUAACACAUGCAAGUCGAACGGCAGCACAGGAGAGCUUGCUCUCUGGGCGGCGAGUGGCGGACGGGUGAGGAAUACAUCGGAAUCUGUCCAGUCGUGGGGGAUAACGUAGGGAAACUUACGCUAAUACCGCAUACGACCUUCGGGUGAAAGAGGGGGAUCGCAAGACCUCUCGCGAUUGGAUGAGCCGAUGUCGGAUUAGCUAGUUGGCGGGGUAAUGGCCCACCAAGGCGACGAUCCGUAGCUGGUCUGAGAGGAUGAUCAGCCACACUGGAACUGAGACACGGUCCAGACUCCUACGGGAGGCAGCAGUGGGGAAUAUUGGACAAUGGGCGCAAGCCUGAUCCAGCCAUACCGCGUGGGUGAAGAAGGCCUUCGGGUUGUAAAGCCCUUUUGUUGGGAAAGAAAUCUUUCAGGCUAAUACCCUGGGAGGAUGACGGUACCCAAAGAAUAAGCACCGGCUAACUUCGUG